CUCCAACCUUAAUGUUUCUAUGGGUCUGCUUAGGGUCAUGGUGGGGUGGGCUGGGUUGGAGUGGAUGAUCUCAGAGGUCUUCUUCAUUCUUAGUGGGUUUAUGGUUUUAUUUGGAGUCAUGGUGGAGUGGUUUGGGGUUGGAUUGUGGAUCUUGGAGGUCUACAACCUUAAUGUUUCUAUGGGUCUGCUUAGGGUCAUGGUGGGGUGGGCUGGGUUGGAGUGGAUGAUCUCAGAGGUCUUCUUCAUUCUGAAUGGGUUUAUGGUUCUAUUUGGAGUCAUGGUGGAGUGGUUUGGGGUUGGAUUGUGGAUGUUGGAGGUCUACAACCUUAAUGUUUCUAUGGGUCUGCUUAGGGUCAUGGUGGGGUGGGCUGGGUUGGAGUGGAUGAUCUCAGAGGUCUUCCUCAUUCUUAGUGGGUUUAUGGUUCUAUUUGGAGUCAUGGUGGAGUGUUUUGGGGUUGGAUUGUGGGUGUUGGAGGUCUCCUCCAACCUUAAUGUUUCUAUGGGUCUGCUUAGGGUCAUGGUGGGAUGGGUUGGAGUUGAUCUGGGGGUUCUUGGAGGUCUCUUCCAACCUCAGUGACUCUGUGGUUCUAUUUGGGGUUGUCAUGGGGAUGAGUUGGGGUUGGGCUUGGAGAUCUUGGAGGUCUUCUCCAACCUUAGAGAAUGUACGUAGGGGCAUGGUGGAGGUGGAUUUGGGGUGGACUGGAUGAC